GGGGAAAAACACACGCACACACAGAGCGAAAAUAUAAAAUGGAGAGCUGAGGUUGUUAAAGCAAAAAAUUAGAUCUCUAACUUUAAUUUGUAGUCAUACAAUGAAAUAAUCAGAAAUUUUCAGAAGCGGCAAUUUUAGCCGAAAUCUGAUAUCAGUAAUUUUUUGAGAGAGCAAAAGAUUGUAAACAACAAAUAUCAACUGUAACGGACAUUAUCGAGAGGGCGGAUUAUUUAACUGCAACAAGACAAAUCAAAGCAAACAUUGAAUACAUUUGUCUAAACCCUAAAUAAAAGGGUAAAAACACUCUUUCCC
rnacentral:misc_RNA from 1 species